GACGUAGGGCGCGAGCGUUGUCCGGAUUUAUUGGGCGUAAAGAGCUCGUAGGCGGCUCGUUGCGUCGGCUGUGAAAACCCGCAGCUCAACUGUGGGCUUGCAGCCGAUACGGGCGGGCUGGGAUUCGGUAGGGGAGACUGGAAUUCCUGGUGUAGCGGUGAAAUGCGUAGAUAUCAGGAGGAACACCGGUGGCGAAGGCGGCUCUCUGGUCCAUGACUGACGCUGAGGUGCGAAAGCUAGGGGAGCAAACGGG
rnacentral:rRNA from 1 species